AACACCACCUGCCAACAUUCAGCCUCCUCUGCCCAUCAGCCUUGCUGACACAGGGAGUGGAGAUUUGUGUAGAGAAAUGACUCAUUCAAAUAUGACUUAAUCUAAACCGUAAGUGUAUGAUUUAUUAAUGUGCCACCAGGCCUUACACCAAGAGAGCCAUUCCAGAGAAAAGUCCUUUUUCUCCUGAGAACAGUGCCAGCAGCUGGCUUCGUGACAUUCUGGAAGCCCCGUGCAAUGCUGUCAGGAGCAUAGGGAUUUUACUUUAUCUCCCUUGCUUAUGCUCCACAUAACUGAAAUAUCUCACUGGAAGCUGCAGCAGUGCUGGCCCCUUGCACAGCCAUAUGUGACCACUGCAGAACAAUCAGUUGGAGAGACAGUUUGGACUACAUGGAGGGUGGAGAUAAGGACAAAGUGAAGAAUACACAGGAACCAGUGCCUCCUCCUGGAACUAUGCAACUCCAAGCUGCUUCCAUCAGCUGCUAGGUCCAGUAGGGAGGGACCUACUGAGAGAAGGUGCCUGCUUCCCUUUCCGCUGUGAUUGUAAGUUUCCUGAGGCCUCCUCAGCCAUGUGGAACUGUGAGUCAAUGAAACCUGUUUCCUUUAUAAAUUACUCAGUCUCUGGUAUUCCUUUAUAGCAGUGUGAAAAUGGACUAAUAUACUUGCCCUUCAUCCCAACGAUGGAUUUAAGACUAGAGACAUUUCAAAUAGUAGGUUUUUUGCCAAAUGCCUUUCGCUGUAGAAAUUCUAUACAUGGCCUUUGUCUGUUACACUGGAAGUCCUGCCACUUCUUAGAUGGUGGAGAUUAAAACAGCGAUUUCUUGUGGUGGUGGCGGGGCUGGGGUUGGGAACAUUGAGGAUAAGGUGGGAGCUGCCCAUCUCAGACACUACUGAGAUAGUGGGAUGGGCCACAUAAAUGUCUAUGGAAGAGAUGCCUUUGCCAUACAAUUCCUUCAACAAAUACUCAUUGAUCACACACCAUAUCUGGGGGUGUAGCUGAGAACAAAACAAAGCUCCUGUUUUGAGGAGCUUUAGGCUGUAGAGAAAACAGAAAAUAAACAAGCAAGCAAAUGGAUGUUUUUAAGUGGCAAAAGUGCUAUAAAGGAAACAAGUAGUGGGAUGAGAUGAGGGGAGGAGAACUUCAGGUAAGGUGGCAUCAGAGCAGGAAGCUGAACUGAGGGUGAGUGAGCUGAGCUCAACAGAAAGGACUGUUGGACUGAGCCAGCCACAUGGAGAUCUGGAGAAGGGAAGAGGGCACUACCAUUUUGUUUUUGUUUUUUAUUGGAUUUAAGACGUCACUAUUGUACCUCUAAAAGAAAAAAAAAAACUGUAAUUAUAAUUGUAAAUUACAAAAUUGAUUGUAAAACACAUUUUGAUAACAAUGAAUUAAAAUAUGUUAAAUUACAUGCCUUAGCAUCAAUAUAUUAGUUCAAAAGCCCAGAAGUGUUAAACAAGCUUAGUGCUUAUCUAAGCAACUGAAAAGAAUCUGAUAUGUUUAUAGUUGGUGAAUGACAGAGAAAAAGAUAUGAGGUUUCAGGGGGGCAAAAGGAUAAAUCUUGAGGUCUUAGUUUAAUUAAAAACGGGUGAUGAUACCAUUUACUGAGAUAGGAGAGAUUUCAGGUUGCCAAGAUGUCAAUUUCAGACAUAUUUUAUAUAUGUUAAGUGACAAUUAAGAGAAGGAGGGUUAAAAGGAGACUUAAGAUUCAGUGAAAACUCAAGGUUUAUGAAGACUUUUGCUCCAUAUCCAUCAGGAAACCAGAAAUCCCUGAAAUUAAUAGCUGAAUAAAUAGAAUAAGGUCAACAUUAUUUUUAACACAUAUUUUUAUGUCAUAUGCAUACUAUGUCACCAUAAUCAGUAAACUGUUAAAGUGCCAGAAAAUGCUUCUACAUCAUUUUCAUUCUGACAGGAAGUAGAUAGAAAUGGCAUGUAUCUACGAAGCCAAGUUCUUUCAAAAUUUACAGCUUAAUUUCUCCAAUUGUUUAGAGUGAUAAAUUUUUCACUGAGGCCAUUGACCAGCACAAUAAUUGUGUCUACACAGCAUGUUUAUAUCAAAUACCAUUGCAUCUGUUAUGUCCUGUUCAUGCUGUGACCUUCCCAGAAGGCAGUUAGGGAUUGAAACUAGUACGCACAAUAGUGUAGAUCAGAAAACUGAUGUCAGGCUCUAGUGACAUGUGUAGGUACUGGCAGAACUGGAAUUAGAACCAGAUUUCUACAGUUGCACCCCUGGUUCUUUGCUCCAAAUGCUAAAGCCCUUGGUUAUUUGAUUUUCCUGUUGUCUUUAUCCUAUCCCCAGGCUCUAUUUGGGUUUCUGUAGUGAAAUUAAGGAUAACCUCAUCUGCAUGCUGUACUUUCUUAAAUAGAUUUUUCUAAUCUCCCAUACUCCCACAACCAUAAAUGACAAAAUACAAGCAUGCUUAGGAUCAUUGUGCCCCACAAUAAAAAAAGCUGUUGCUAUGUUUUGGAAACAGAUCAAUCUUGGUAUUUAAGUGUUGUUUGAACAAAGAUUAACUGAGCCUGUUCUCCUCCCCCAGGUACUCAGACCCAGAACAUACUGUUUUCACUCCAAGAGUCUGAAUGUCUCUUUUCUGAGAAAGAUGAAGAAAAAGUACUUUUUUCAUGAAUUUAAUACUCAUUAAAGUCAAUAGUCGGAAAGCCUGGCUAAUUAGCAGACUUCUUCAGAGGACUUUAAAUAAUAUAGUUACUGUAUUUUUAUUAUAUUGAAAUCUCCAAAUAUAUAAAGUUAGAAUCUUCAAGGUGGGAGGAAGAGGAGAAAUUGGAUUUCUCUAAGCUCCCUAGUGAUUCUGAUGAUGACUCAUUUGGGGAAGUGCAGCAUUGAAUGGCCCUUCUAAAAUGAGGACAGCUAUUUUUUGGACUAAGCACCCCUCCCGACUCUCCCCAUUCCUCAUCCUCUCAGAGACUUCUCUCUCUCAGAUUGCCCCAUCUGUCUCAUGUAUUAUAAUCACUUCCCCUCUACUGGUUUCUUCUCAUACGUUUAACUUGUUCAAGUGCCUUCCAUCUUUAAAAACAGUCAAGGCACAGCCCUUGAUUUAACCAUAGGAAGCCCGCUCCCCACCACCCUGCCAUCAGCUCUCUUCUUCCUGUGUAGUGAGCACUGCUUCUUUGAGCUUCUGAAAGCUGUAGUCACUGCCUCUUGCUGGUAACUGAAAGCACAUUUCUAAGUUCGCAUAUUCCCUGACUUCUUGACAGCACUCAUGACUCGCCAUCUCCUUUUCUGGAACACUGUUUGCUUGGCUUUCACAAUAUCAUGCUUUUCUAGUUCUUUUUCCUGUUUUGGACACUGCUUUACAGAGAAUUAACAUUCCUCUUUUUCCCGCUGACCCUGAAUCAAGAAAGAAUCAUGUUUCUUUCUUUAUUUUUUAUAUCUUAACUUUUGAGGGGUAGAUUUUCAAGCAUACAUAAAAGUGAAGAGAACAGGAUAAUGAACUAGGUGUACACAUGACUGCAUCUUAUCAGUGCAAUACACACUCAUAUUACUUUUUCUAUACUUCAUCCAUUUUCUCCCUGCUCCCUGACUUGGAUCAAAUCCCAGACAUUACAUUAUUUAACCUGCAAAUAUUUCAUCAUAUAUAUGUGGGAAUAUAUAGAUCUCUAUCACUAUAUAUAGUGAGAAUUUCUUUCAAAGAAAAGAUAAUCACAAUAUUAUAAUCUCAUCAAAUGUAGUUGUUAUAAUUCCUUAAUGUCAGUCUAAUAACAAUCCUGUUUUCACAAUUUCUUCUCUUGUAGAUUUUUAAAAAUUAAUUUUGUUGAAUUGAAAUCUAAAUAAGAUACAGAGAUAAAGAUUCAUUGACAUGUCCCUUAAGUAUUUUAGUUUAUAGGCUGUCCUACUAUAUUCCCUGCCUCUUCUUGCAUUUUAUCUUGAUUCAGUUGAAAACUCUGGGUCAUUUGUCUUAUAAAGUUCAUGGGGUCUGCAAUUUGGUGAAGGUGUCCUUUUGGCAUUAUUUAACAUGCGUCUCUGUUCCUUGUAUUUUCUAGAAAUUAUUGGUUAUAUCUAGAGGUUUGAUCAGAUUUAGGUGAAAUUAUAAAAAGAUUCCGUCAUAGGUGAUUUUGUGAAGUUCCAUCAGAAGGUACCCAUCUGGUUUUCUCUCCUUUUGUGAUGCUAGCAGCCACUGAAUAUGGUAAUCUACUCCAAUCAUUAACUAAAUUUCUUUUCUGGAAUUAUUCCAAAAGAGAAACUUUUUUCAUCAUGCAUUUGGUUGUCCUGAGGUAUGAUUGUAUAGGAAAAACAGGAUAACCUACUGAUACUUUCUGUUUAAACUAGUAUUCAAAAUAAUAAAAGUAGUCCCCUAGUAUUAUCUAAAGAUUUCAAAAGACUUUUAAAAAAAUUAUUGAUGAUUUUAUGAGCUCAGGGAUUAAACAUAGUCAAUCUGUUUCAAUCCCUUGCAGUUAUUCCAAUUAAUAAUCAAAUUUUCCUGCCUUUGGCUUGCGGCAGCGUAUUCAUGUUGAAUUCUGGGUCACUUUGACAUGACUCCAGUUGUCUUUGAUGGUAUCCUUUUUGUGACAAAAUGUCCCAGGAUUAUAAUUUCCUGUCCCAUACUGGGAAACAGCCAGUUCUCCAAAGAGCUCUGGAACCAUUCAGUGAGAAAUGUAUUUAGAUGCAACAUUCUGGGUGCUAAGCAUGCCCAUUAACCUGAUCAAUCUCACGUCUUUCCUUUCUUUCAGCAUUGCCAGAAAACUCAUUUCUCAGUGACACCAUUGUAAUUACUCAUUUGAUUAUCCCGCAAUACACAUAUAAGAGUCUCAGGAAAACAGUACCAUCAGCAUUAUAUGAGCUAAUUAAAAAUGUGGUGUCCUGGACUCACGAAGCCAGAAUUGCUGAGGAGAUAGCCCGAGAAUCUGAAUUUUUAGCAGACAUUUUUUUAGGUACCUUACCCGCAGGAUCAUUUCUGUGAAUAUCCAUGAGGUGAAAAAGUCUGGGAAACACUGUCCUAGGGUGUGGGGAAGAGCGAGAAAAAGAUUUCCGCUCUGGAAGGUAAACAAAUACUCUCUGGAGAGAGAAGAGGAAUGUCCCUAGCAGAUGUCUCCAGAGAAGACAAGACUUUAAAUUCCGCCAGGGAAAUAUACAAUGUCUAACUUCUAAGGCACAUUUGCCAUUCAAUCAUGCUUUAACCCACGUUGCCAGAAAUUUUUGCUCACUAGGUUUUGACUGUACAGGAAUGUGAAAAUAUUCAUGAAGAGUUGUUUUCCAAUGCUAAAGAAUUGAUGUGUUUUAACAGUUGAAUUAAUUGUAUUGAUUAUGAUCACACCUACUUUUUAUAUAUCUUCAUUUCUAACGUUUCUGUACAAUCCUGCCUUUCCACCUGAUAUAGUUAGGCCUUGUGUCAUCAACCAAAUCUCAUCUUGAAUUGUAAUCGCCAUAAUCCCCACGUAUUUAGGGAGAGACCUGGAGGGAGGUGUUUGGAUCAUGGGGGCGGUUUCCCGCAUGCUGUUCUCAUGACCAUGAGAGUAAGUUCUCAAGAGAUCUGAUGGUUUUAUAAGCGUCUGUCAUUUCCACUGCUUGCACUUCUGUGUCCUGCCACCUUGUGAAGAAGGACGUGGUUGCUUCCCCUUCCACCAUGAUUGUGUUUCCUGAGGCCUCCCCAGCCUUGCAGAGCUGUGAGUCAAUUAAACCUCUUUCCUUUAUAAAUUACUCAGUCUCUGUAUUCCUCUGCAGCAGUGUGAGAACAGACUAAUACAUCACCACUUUAUUUACUUUACUCUCUCCCCAUACCGAGGUUUUCUACAUUUUCUUUCUAGGUCUCUACAGUUUCUGCAAAGAUCCUUUAUGGAACUCUUAGGGAAGCUGGGAUGUAUAAUAAAUAAAGGGCUCUUUUCUUUGAGUCCCACACCCAUUUUCUGUGUAUAAAAAUCUUCAACUCCACUUUUGUCUGUUCUAUUUAAAUGUGUGCACAUUUCCUUCUAAUGUUGUAUAUGAAAAAGAGACACCUCUUAGCAGUCUUUCAUAGAGCAAAAUUUUUUACUUUGAUAAAAUCUAAUUUAUCAAUAUUUUUAAAUUUUAUGGAUCAAUCAUGCUUUUGAGGUUGAAUUUAAGAAUGCUUUGCCUAGCCCUAGAUCCCAAGUAUCUUUUAAAAAUUAUUUUUCUAAAUGCAUUAUUUAUGUUUUACACUUAAGUCUAUAAUCCAUUUUGAGUCCAUGUGUAAGAUUUAGGUUAAGGUCAAGAUUUAUCUGUUUUUGUUGUUUUCUCUAUAAAUGUCAAUUGCUCCAGCACUAUUUGUUUAAAAGCCAAUCUUUCCUCCGCUGAGUUCUUCCUAUAAGUUUGUCAAAAGUCAAUUUGGCAUCUUUGUAUAAGUUUAUUUCUGGAUUCUCUAUUCUGUUUUAUUGAUCACUGCAUCUAUCCCUCUUGAUUAGCUAGAUAAUAAAUCCUACAAUAAGGUAGAAUUCUUCCCACUUUAUUCAUAUUCAAAAUAUUUUAAAGCUAUUCUAGUUUCUUUUUAUUUCCAUAUAUAUUUUAGGAUAAUCUUAUCUAUAUUUACAACAUAUGUUGCUAGGAUUUUGAUAGAAUUUGUUUUAAAUUUGUGUAUCAAUGUAGGGAAGACCUGACAUCUUUACUAUUACGUUGAUCUUCCAAUCAAUGAAUAUGGUAUAUCUCUCAGUUUAUAGCUAUUGUCUUUAAUUUAUUUCAUCAUGGUUUUUAGUUUUCAGCAGAGAAGCUUUAUACAUGUUUUGUUAUACAUGUAUAACAAAAGAAGCCUUAUACACUGACAUUUUAUAUUUUGAACAAUUGUAAAUGGUAUUGUUUAAAAAUUUUGUUGUCUAUGAUAGAAAUAAAAUUGAUUUUUGUAGGUUUAUCUUGUAACCUAUGACUUGCUGAGCUCGCUCAUUAGUUUUUUUAUUGUGAUAAAAUAUACAUGAGAUAAAUUUCAUCAUUAUAAUCAUUAAGUUUAGACAUCAAUUGCAUUAAGUACAUAAAUGCCUUAUGCAACCAUCAUCUCUAUCCAUCUCCAGACCCUUUGCAUCACCCUAAAAUGAAACUCUGUGCCCAUUAAACAAUAACUCCCCAUUCUGCCCUCACCCCAGCCCUUGGUAAUUACCAUCCUACCUUUUAUCUCUAUAAAUUUAACCAUCCCAGGUAACUCAUAUAAGUGGAAUCAUGCAGUGUUUGUCCUUUUGUAACUGGUUUAUUUCACUUAGCAUGAUGUCUUCAAGGUUUGCCUAUGUCAUAGCAUGUGUCAGAAUUUCAUCCCUUUUUAAACUUAAAUAAUAUUCCACUGUAGGCAUAUGCCACAUUUUGUUUAUUUGUUCAUCUGUUGAUGGGCAUUUGGGUUGUUUCCACCUUUUGGCUACUGUGAAUAAUGCUGCUGUGAUCAUGGGUAUGCAACUGUCUCCUGGAGUCCCUGCUAUCAAUUCUUGUGGGUAUAUACCCAGAAGUGGAAUUGUUGCAACAUAUAGUAAUUCUAUGUUUAAUUUUUUGAGGACCUGCCAUAAUGUUUUCCACAGUAGCUACAUUGUCUUAUAUUCCCAUUAAGAGUUCCAAUUUCCUCACAUCUUCACCAAUACUUAUUGUUUUCUGUUUUUUUAAAUAAUAGCCAUCAUAAUAAAAGUAACAUGGUAUCUCAUUGUGGUUUUAACUGCAUUUCCCUUUUUACUGGAUUGUUUGUAAUAUUGCUGUAAUUGAGUUGUAGGAGUUUUUAAAUAUGUUCUGAAUAAUUAAUUUCUUAUCAGAUAUGUCAUUUGCAAAUAUUUUCUGCCAUUCUCUGGGUUGUCAUUUCACUCUCUUGAUAGUGUCCUUUGAUGCACAGAAGUUUUGAAAUUUGAUAAAGUUUAAUUUGCGUAUGUAUUUAUUUUGUUGCUUAUGCUUUUGGUGUCAUAUCCAAGAAAUUAUUGCCAAAUUCAGUGUCAUGAAGAUUUUCCCCUGUGUUUUCCUCUAAGAGUAUUAUAGUUUUAACUCUUGCACUUAGAUUGAUCCGCUUUGAGUUAAUUUUAGUAUAUGGGGUAAGACAAGGGCUCAAAUUUGUUCUUUUGUUUGAAGAUUCUAGGUCAUUUGUGAUCUUUAGGAUUUUCUAUGUAGACAUUAAUGUCAUCUUCAAAUAUGAACAGUUUAUUUCUUCCUUUUGUAUAUGUAUGAAUUUACUUUCCUUUUCUUGCCUUAUUGCACUGGCUAGAGUUUUCAGUACUAUGAUGAAUAAAAUCAGUGAGAGCAGACACCCUUGCUUUGUUUCUAAUCUUAGGAGGAAAGCUUUCAGUCUUUCAUCAUUAGGUAUACUGUUAGUUGUAGGCUUAUUAUAGAUGCUCUUUAUCAGGUUGAGGCAGUUUCCUCCUUGGUUAAGACUUUCUAUUUUUCAUUUUCAGUUAUGACCAGGCAUGUUCAUAACUGCUCAUCAAAACUUUGAAUUAGUGGCUGCUUUAACAUCCUUCUCAGACAAUUCUAACAUCUGUUUUGUUGGUGGUGGCAUCUAUCAAUUGUCUUUUUCAUUCUGUUUGAGAUCUUCCUUGCGUUUGGUAUGAUUUUUUUAAAUAUUAUGUCAUGAAACUGCAUCUUAUUUAAAUCUUCUGUUUUAGUUGGCUAUGUCUGACAUCACUUCCCCAGGGGAAGGUGUUGUUACUGCUAGUGGAGGGUGAGAAUUAUGGCUCUCCACUGACAUUGUGGUGGGAUUGGUCCCAUUACCACUGGGCAGGGUUGAAAGUCCUGACUUUCUGCUAGGCCUUCUCUGACUUCAUCGCAGCAGGAGGAAAAGAUGCCUCUGGAGUUGAAGUCAGGUUGCACUGACACUGUGUGUGUAUGGAGGUAGGCUGGGGUGAAAGUGGAGACUCAUUACCACAUGGUGAGUAGUUUCCAGCUCUCUAUUUGGCCUUCUCUGAUACCACCCAGACAGGGACAUUGGGGAUACCUCAUUACAGCCUAGUGAGGGUCAAACUCUAGGCUCCCCACUCAGUCUUUGCUAUCAUGGACACUGUAGGACCAUAGUUUUUUCUGUGCUGUUUGCUUGAUGUGUCUUCCUUGGACCCUGAGUUCCAUAGCUGGUCUGCAUUCCUCUCUCCACCUUUAAGACGUCUUCUUAUGUUUAUUUCAUAUUUAACAUCCAGGGUGGUAAUUAGAGGGAAGAAUAGAGGGAAAAGUACAGUUGCACUUUGUUGUUCAAAGAGCAGUUUUGAACUGCACAGACCCAUUUCUCUGAGCACACCCAGGGAUGAUUGUACUUGUAUAAAAUUUUUUUCCUGGAUGCAGAAUUCUCAAUUGACUGUGAAAGUUCAUAACAAAGAAAACAGUGGGGAAGACAAAUCUGGAAAUGAGGAAAAUAAAAAUUAAAUAGUGAGACCACCCAUGGAGCUUGUGGCAAAGCCUGAAUUGAAUCCGCUGUAUCUUAAGAUUGUGCCUCAUUCUAAAUUUAAGUCACCCUUCUCAUUAUGAAAGUGUCACAACUUCUCAGUAGGUGAGGAGACAGUCUAAAUUUGAGAAAAGAAAGUUACAACAAAGGUUUUGAGCAAGCUGCUAAGUGGAUUUAUUCAUGUUUGAGAAAUCAAAUAUAUGGUUAAUGAGCUCUUUAACUAGAAGCCAACACUAGGGAGGAGUAGACAGAAGUCACGGGGAGGGAGCCCCCGGACAUUUCAAAAGACUUUGCCCUGCAACAUCUCCUCCACAUUUAAGCUUUUAGGUUAUUGUAGCCACAUCACAAGCAUGUUACCUACCCAGAUAUUGUCUGCGCAUCAUUCCCAAAAGCUUCCCUGGGUCUUCAUAAUAUUAAUGAGAUUCUCCCCCAGGUUAGACCCCUUUGGCUUGAGUCAGAAACAGAAUUAAUCCGGGGGACAAUCCAGCAGCACCCAUCUCUGGGUUGCAGAAAUAUCUGAGGUGACCAGGCAGUGUUUGGAGUCCCCUCAGUUAGCUAACAAAGUGAGUUCACAGCUUCCAAGACCCCAGGCUUUCCAGGCUAAUAAAGAGCUGAGGUUAUAGGCUCUCCUUAUCAAACGCUCUUUGGCAGCUGCCAUAACCAUUCCAAGUCUAGUCCUAGAAUAGAAAUGACGCGGUUUCAGGAGCUGACAGAUGGAACUUUAAGCCUUCCUUCCUGCCACAUCUGAAGUUCUUUUUUAAAAAAAUAGAAAACCAUGACAAUAAACACUCCUUGAAUGCCCUGUGGAAAAGUGUACUCCUCAGAAUUCACUAAAGUGGGGUGAAGCAGUGGGUUGUGGUGCUGAGAAAACAUCUCUUCCCCUCGGCAGUAUAUUGGAAUCUCAUAGAAACUUCUGUGGCUGGGAAGCAAACAUGCUCUCUGCCCCAUUGCUCUUAUUCAUCUUUAGACCUGAUAAUACAGUUUGAACUUCAAGUUGCACUUUAAAUGGCAUGCAUUUUUA
rnacentral:lncRNA from 10 species